rnacentral:rRNA from 1 species
UACGUAGGGUGCAAGCGUUGUCCGGAAUUAUUGGGCGUAAAGAGCUCGUAGGCGGUCUGUUACGUCGGCUGUGAAAACCUGGGGCUCAACCCCGGGCCUGCAGCCGAUACGGGCAGACUAGAAUUCGGUAGGGGAGACUGGAAUUCCUGGUGUAGCGGUGAAAUGCGCAGAUAUCAGGAGGAACACCGGUGGCGAAGGCGGGUCUCUGGGCCGAUAUUGACGCUGAGGAGCGAAAGCGUGGGGAGCGAACAGGA